rnacentral:rRNA from 1 species
UACGUAGGGUGCGAGCGUUGUCCGGAAUUACUGGGCGUAAAAGAGCUCGUAGGCGGUUCGUCGCGUCGCUGUGAAAACCCGGAGCUCAACUCCGGGCCUGCAGUCGAUACGGGCGGACUUGAGUGUUGCAGGGGAGACUGGAAUUCCUGGUGUAGCGGUGAAAUGCGCAGAUAUCAGGAGGAACACCGGUGGCGAAGGCGGGUCUCUGGGCAACUACUGACGCUGGAGGAAGCGAAAAGCGUGGGGGAGCGAACAGGA